UCCGGAAUAAAAAAAUCUGUCCCUCGUGCU
rnacentral:piRNA from 1 species